rnacentral:rRNA from 1 species
UCAAAUGAAUGAAGGCAUAGGGUGGAGACCUAGGCAUCUAGAGGCGAUGAAGGGCGCAGAUACCGGCGAUACGCUUCGGGGAGUUGGCAACAAGCAUUGAUCCGAAGAUUCCCGAAUGGGGCAACCUCUUAGAACUACUCGCUGAAUUCAUAGGCGAGUAAGAGAGAACUUAGCGAAUUGAAACAUCUUAGUAGCUAAAGGAAUAGAAAGCAAAAGCGAUUCCCAAAGUAGCGGCGAGCGGAAUGGGAACAGCCUAAACCAACCUAAUAGGUUGGGGUUGUGGGAAAACGUCAAAAAGAUUUUAAGAGAUGCUAAGACGAAGCAGCUGAAUCCUGCACCAAAGAUGGUGAAAGUCCAGUAGUCAACAUCCAAAAUUUUGUUUUAUCCCGAGUAGCAUGGGGCACGUGGAAUCCCGUGUGAAUCAACGAGGACCACCUCGUAAGGCUAAAUACUCCUAGAUGACCGAUAGCGAAAUAGUACAGUGAUGGAAAGUUGAAAGAGAACCCCCUUAAGGGGAGUGAAAUAGAACAUGAAACCCUAUGCUGACAAGCAGUGGGAGGGUUUCUUUGAGAACCUGACCGCGUGCCUGUUGAAGAAUGAGCCGGCGACUUAUAGGGAAUGGCGGGUUAAGGACGUAAAUCCGGAGCCCAAGCGAAAGCGAGUCUGAAUAGGGCGUACAAUGUCAUUCCUUAUGGACCCGAACCUGGAUGAUCUAACCAUGGCCAGGAUGAAGCUUGGGUAACACCAAUUGGAGGUCCGAACCGACCGAUGUUGAAAAAUCGGCGGAUGAGCUGUGGUUAGGGGAGAAAUUCCAAUCGAAUUCAGAGCUAGCUGGUUCUCCCCGAAAUGCGUUGAGGCGCAGCGGUAACGAUGAGCUGUCUAGGGGUAGAGCACUGUUUCGAUACGGGCUGCGAAAGCGGUACCAAGUCGUGGCAAACUCCGAAUACUAGGCAUUGCCUUCCGUAAACCAGUGAGACAGUGGGGGAUAAGCUUCAUUGUCAAGAGGGAAACAGCCCAGAUCACCAGCUAAGGCCCCUAAAUGGCCGCUAAGUGGAAAAGGAUGUGAGAAUGCUGAAACAACCAGGAGGUUUGCUUAGAAGCAGCCACCCUUUAAAGAGUGCGUAAUAGCUCACUGGUAAAGCGUUCUUGCGCCGAUAAUGGCCGGGACUAAGCGGCCUGCCGAAGCUGUGGGAUUUUUCGAGCCCAAACUACGCUCGAGCUACGCUCGUGCGUCAGCAAACGGAUGCUCAGGAAAAAUCGGUAGGGGAGCGUUCUACGUUGGGUGAAGCCCUCGCGUCAGCGUCGGUGGACAGCGUGGAAGUGAGAAUGUCGGCUUGAGUAACGAAAACAUUGGUGAGAAUCCAAUGCUCCGAAAACCUAAGGGUUCCUCCACAAGGUUCGUCCAUGGGGGGUGAGUCAGGUCCUAAGGCGAGGCCGAACGGCGUAGUCGAUGGCAAACAGGUUAAUAUUCCUGUACUCAUUGUUGUGGGGUCCGAGGGACGAAGAAGGCUAAGUCGUAGCUGUGAAUGGAAUGCAGCGGAAGCGUUCGAGGCGUUGAUAGGUUGAAUAAAAACAACUCUAGAGCUAAGGCGUGAUCCCAUUCGCCGGGACUUGUUCCGGCUGGAUGUCGAUGAUGUCAUACUUCCAAGAAAAGCUCGUACACCUAAUACACAACAAUGACCUGUACCAGAAACCGACACAGGUAGGUAGGUAGAGAAUACUAAGGAGCGCGAGAGAACUCUCUCUAAGGAACUCGGCAAACUGGCCCCGUAACUUCGGAAGAAGGGGCGCCUGAGAAAUCAGGUCGCAGUGACCAGGCCCAGGCGACUGUUUAUCAAAAACACAGGUCUCCGCAAAGUCGUAAGACAAUAUAUGGGGGCUGACGCCUGCCCAGUGCCGGAAGGUGAAGGAAGUUGGUUAUUUCUUCGGAGAGAAGCUGACGACCGAAGCCCCGGUGAACGGCGGCUGUAACUAUGACAGUCCUAAGGUAGCGAAAUUCAUUGUCGAGUAAGUUUCGACCUGCACGAAAGGCGUAACGAUCUGGGCGCUGUCUCAGAGAGAGACUCGGUGAAAUAGACUUGUCCGUGAAGAUGCGGACUACUAACAUUUGGACAGAAAGACCCUAUGAAGCUUGACUGUAGUCUGGAAUGGAAUUCGGGCUUUUCUUGCGCAGCCUAGGUGGGAGGCGUUGAAGAUUUCCUUCCGGGGAAAUCAGAGCCAUCAGUGAGAGACCACUCUGGGAAGGCUAGAAUUCUAAUGGCGAUCCUUGAAUCAGGACGCUUGACAGUUUCAGAUGGGCAGUUUCUCUGGGGCGGAGAUCUCCUAAAAGGUAACGGAGGUGCGCAACGGUCCCCUCAGUCUGGACGGAAAUCAGACAGCGAGUGUAAAGGCAAAAGGGGGCUUGACUGUAAGACCUACAAGUCGAACAGGGGCGAAAGCCGGCCUUAGUGAUCCGACGGUGCUGUGUGGAAAGGCCGUCGCUCAACGGAUAAAAGUUACUCUAGGGAUAACAGGCUAAUCUUCUCCAAGAGUUCACAUCGACGAGAAGGUUUGGCACCUCGAUGUCGGCUCAUCACAUCCUGGGGCUGUAGUAGGUCCCAAGGGUUGGGCUGUUCGCCCAUUAAAGUGGUACGUGAGCUGGGUUCAGAACGUCGUGAGACAGUUCGGUCCAUAUCCGAUGUUAGCGUUAGAAUAUUGAGGUCAGUCACUCAUAGUACGAGAGGACCUGUAGUGAUCAUGCCUAUGGUCUAUCAGUUCUUUUUCCAAAGGGAAACGCUGAGUAGCUACGCAUGGAGUGGAUAACCGCUGAAAGCAUCUAAGCGGGAAGCCCAGACCAAGAUGAGUAUUCUCCAUUAAGCCGCAGCAAGACAAGCUGUAGAUAGGUAUCAGGUGUAAGAUUAGCAAUGAUUUCAGCCGAGAUAUACUAAAGGCAGACCGAUUUUGAC